AGGAAUCAGAAAUAAGCAAUAGCAGCAUGGAUUUCUGAAGUACUGUUGAAUAAAAUCUGUUCUCCGCCUUGUAAUUGUUAAGUGAUCGGGAGGCUCUGCUGCUUGAGGUCUUGGAUCACCAGAUCGACCGUUGUUUCCUUCUGGUGUUUUGGAAUGAACUAAUGGAGGAAUCUUUCGGAAGUUGAGGCUUUCAUCAAAAACACGAUCAACCAACUAAUGGGACGAAAGCAAACCUUUAUGAGAACACAGUAAUUUGAAAAAGUACCAAUAUUGGCAUUACAAUUUUUAUGAUUAGACAGAAGUUAUUCCAUUCUCAAGUAGUAACAGAGGCACAACAUCUUCAAUAAACCAAUUACUCUUUCUUUUUAUAAGCACUUCAAAUGUAUUUCCUUUAUAAAAUCGAGAUUCAUCUACACAGGUUUUAUUUUCAAAAUCCAAAAUAUAUAACUAUGUUAAAUUUAAUUCUUCCAUGGAUAAGAUUUUCUCCAAAUGGAAAACAGAUGGUAAAUAGAAAAAAAGCUGAGCCAUGUAGAUGGACAAUGAGUUCAUUUUACUCACAUUGCCUUACCAGUGUAAAAUAAUGUUUCUUUUUCUUUUAGUUUCCUAUCUUGUUUUUUCCUCCCCAAAUCCAGGUGUCAAAUUUCUUCACAAGAUACAUAAAUUGCAAAUUCCAAUUAAGUUUACAAAAGGAAAA
ensembl:lncRNA novel transcript